GGUGAUCCGCCCGCCUCAGCCUCCCGAAGUGCUGGGAUUACAGGCGUGAGCCACUGUGCCCCGCCUCAUCUGACAGGUUUUAUAGUGGCAGUAAGAAGUGGUCUGUGAUACAGACAUACUUUCUAACAAAAUACACUUCUCGGACACAGAACUUCUCUUUUUGCGAAGUAAGGAGCUCCCAUAGUUCCUGAGAUAGUCUCCACCUGCCACCCUGUUCCUCUCCAGUACCAUACACUGCAAACAUGCCAAGCCGGAUGCCACUCCCCAGACAGCUUCACGACUGCAAAUAUCACAUGGGCUGUGCCUACAACACUUUUCAUUUCUGGGCCAUCCCUGCAAACUUGAAAACCCAACCUCCUCUGUGAAUCUUGUGCUCUCUCUCCUCCAAGCAGAGUGGCUAGCCUGCUUCUCACCCACUCAGCAUACUUCUCCCCUGCACCAUCUCCCUCUGCUGUCAAUAUCUAGACUGUCGGGUCUCUGAGGGCAGGAUCACGUGCUAUUUCCCUGUGUAUCCUCAGUGCUGACCAUAGUGACCUGGACACAGCACACACUGGAUGAUGGGAGGAAGGAAGAAGAGGGGAGAAUUGAGAAUGCAAAGAAAUGCCCAGAAAGCACCGGCGAGUUGCAGGAGAAGGGUGACAACACAGUCUGCAGCGAGAACAGAGAGUUCGCAUAGCCUGGGCGUGUGCCUGCUUCCAUUCCCGCCCACCCACGGUUUCUGGGGCAAACAAAUUCUUGGCUGAGCAGGUACGUGUGGGAGGCCUGAUUUAUUUUCCAACCAUUAGAGCUUUGCCCAGAACUACUUAAUCAGGAUUUUUCAAGGUCGUACAUUCAAAUAUGAUGUUAUAGCCUUAUGAAACAAAUAACUCUGGGGUCUAUGGGGCAGGCGGGUAGGGAGUGACAAGAAGAGGAAGAAAAAAAUUAACCACUCUCAUUUGAUCUAGCUUCCCAACCAUUCUUACCUUGUAUCCACUAUAUAGUCUCAGAAAAUUGACACACUGGACAAAUGCAUAGCUAAAAGAAAUAAUAGCUAAUUAUAAUGCUUACUUUAAAGCAGGCACCAUUCUAAAUGCUCUGUUUAUAUGGACUUAUUUGACUCUCGCAACAAUCCUUUGAGGCGGAUACUAAUAUUAUUGUCCUAAUAUUAUUUUACAGAUGCACGAAGAGGUUAAGUGACUCACCCAAGGACCAAGGGCCGGGUGGUGCACCCAGGUAGUUUGUGCAUUCCCACUCUGCUAUACUCCCUCUCUGUGCUCUGCCGUCCUGUCCCUCAAAAGAGCUUAUUUCAGUCAUGGUAUAUCUAAUUAAUUUUCCCAGUGCGGUACAGUUUUAUUUAAGCUACUUUCUUGAAAGGAAUACUAUCAGAGCCAGUCUCAACCUCAAAGUACAGAUGAGACACUACCAACCCUGCUGCUUAAAAAGCCAUAUAAUUUUAGGAGGGCUGGAAAAGUCCCAAGGCUCAAACCACAAUUCACUCUCACACAGAGCCUGAUUAGAAGCAGUUCUAGGCAAAGCUUUGAUCCUGUUAAAAUGUACAAGCUUCUGGGAGGCGUUCACUUUAUGCUGUUAUCGCCUUGUAGGAAAAGUUGCAUUGUUAUCUUUUUCAGUACAGUUUAAUGAUAAGAACUUCAGGUGGUUUCCAGGCAUCUGAUUCACCUGUCCAGUUCUGACUUGUUCCCUGCUGGGUACCUGGAACUCUCCAGGACCUGGCACAUAAAUAAGUGCUCAAUAUUGCCAGCGUGGGCGAACGAAUGAAUCAAUGAAUGGCUGUCACUCCUGCAGAUGCUAGGUUUAGGGUAUGAUGCAUGUAGGUAUCAAAGGGGCAGCCAAGUUAGGCAAAAUUAUCGCAUUAAAAGUCUAAAUGUGAACAAGUAAAUCUCUGCCAGAGAGUAACAACUGAAAGAGACCUCAGGCAUGCUUAAGUUGUAUAUAUAAUGGUCUUUUUGAAGAUUAUAUUUCAAAAUGCAUAUGCAGUAGAGCUAAUAUACCUGAUGAAGAAGGUAAUAAAUGGCUUAAGAAGUAAGUGAUGUCUAUGUAAUUUCCCCCUAAAAUUAUACUCUCCCAAUAGGUAACAUGCCCUAGGGCAUCACCUUUUCUCCCAACAGUCUCCUAUCCAAGUCCUCUGCGUACUCAAAGUCCUCCCCAAAUGCCUUCUUUUCCAGGAAAUAUUCCCUGCUUUCUGGCCAGAAGAGGUCACUCCCCAGUUUGUACUCAAAGGUACUUUGUUCUUUCUUCUUGUACACAAAUUCAUUUUCUGAAUUGUAGUUAUUUUUCUCAUCUGCACUACCAACUUGUCCCUAACUUCUUCCCUGUAUUCCACAGGGAACCACACAUUCUUCCUAACGUAAACCAAGCAUCUAGUAAAAAUCAGGCUGUUUUUUAAAGGACUCCUAUGGAAGUGCUCCAAGGAUACCACAAACAUCUGUUUCUGAUGUUCAAAUACAUUUUGGAUAUUUUUUAAGCUUUAAUUUAAGAAAACAACCUGAAAUGGUUUAUAUGCAAACUUUUCACGCACUGCAGAUCUCUGCCCAUGAAUGUAGUGUGUGCCAAUAAACCCGGCCAGGCCGGGCAACCUUGCAGCCCUCACAGGAGGCUGCUCUGCCUGCUCUGUGCUCACUCACAUGUGAACUUCUCCUAAGUGUGACAUUGGUGAGGGAAGCUGUAGGCCCAACUCGGCCCUGUGAGAAGUACCUGCCUGCACAGUCUCCUCUCCUAAAGUUGUUCAAGCAAGCACAUGAAUACAAAACCACACCCUAGCGUGGGCUUCGAUGAAAUGCCAGGCAAGGCUCAGGGCCAUCUGUACGGCCUUGCUUUCAUGGCACCGUAAAGUCCUUUGUGAUAAUAUCCCACUUGAGAGAGAGUAAAUAUUUAUUCUAAGAAUUAGAUGUUUCCUGUAUGACUAGAUUUAUGAUAAGGAAUGUGACCAACUGUUUCCUAAGUUCAGUUACAGGGUUUCUUACAGCUUUGAAACAAAUACUCCCUAUCUUCCAUGGGCUGAACUAAAAUGUAUCCUGGAAUCCCAAGGCAAGGUAUUUAAACCAAACCAAAAACUCUGUUACGGUUUGCAAACAAUUAUCUAUAAAAACAGACUUUUAAAAUAUCCUGUAUUUAAAGCAAAGCAUACAAUUUUUUUAAAGACAGAAGAUGAUGUGACUAUAGCUAUUAGAAGUUAACAAUACCUGACUUAAAAAGUUUUCUAUCUUCGUAAUAGCCUCAUUGUUCUUACUGACACGGCCGUAAAUAAACCUCAUAAGUGUAAACUUCAAAAAUUUAUACUUAGUAAGAUAGCACUUUAUCUGUUUUAUAUGGUAGAGUUUCAUGUAAGAUUUCAGUUAAUGAAAAGAUUCACUGCUUCCCAGAAGUUUGAAAACUUCUCUUAAUGUUCCUUAAACAUCAGUCUAUGGCUGCAAGAGACCUGGAGAAGAUGUUUUCAUACAUGUGUUCCUGGACCAUUUUCCUCAGUAAUUUCCUUGUACUAGGUACAAAGGUAAGAAUCUAAACUUAGGCAAAAAAAAAAAAAAAAAAAAGAAAAGAAAA